CCAGAAACCACAAAGCUCCCAGGCGGCGGCGGCGGCAGAUCCACUCUCACUUCCAUCGUGCGAGACAAAAUUUGAGGAACACCGGCGGUCGGUCUCGUCCUAGGCAAGGUACCAGAGAAGACACGGGAUUUGGAGGUGAUAUUUCGCAUCAAAACUUGGGAUGGACAACAAGGCAAAGUUUUUAAUUUAUACUGCUGUGGCACAUAUGUUUAUCUCUAUGAUGACAUUACUUGUUCAGUCAAGAAAAAGAAAGAGAAGAGCGACCAUAACAUAUGCCCCAAUUGACGAUAGGGAUAGAAUGAGAAGAGAGUAUUUCGAUAAUAAAGUAUGGAAGAAUGACACAACUUGCGUGAAUAUGCUUAGGCUACGGAAAGAACCAUUUUUUCGAUUCUGUAAAGUCUUUAGAGACCGGAAAUUGUUGAAGGACACGAUACAUAUGCCUAUUGAGG